rnacentral:rRNA from 1 species
GACGAACGCUGGCGGCGUGCCUAAUACAUGCAAGUUGAGCGCUGAAGGUUGGUACUUGUACCAACUGGAUGAGCAGCGAACGGGUGAGUAACGCGUGGGUAAUCUGCCUUUGAGCGGGGGACAACAUUUGGAAACGAAUGCUAAUACCGCAUAAAAACUUUAAACACAAGUUUUAAGUUUGAAAGAUGCAAUUGCAUCACUCAAAGAUGAUCCCGCGUUGUAUUAGCUAGUUGGUGAGGUAAAGGCUCACCAAAGCGAUGAUACAUAGCCGACCUGAGAGGGUGAUCGGCCCACAUGGGACUUGGACACGGCCCAAGCCCCUACGGGAGGGAGCAGUAGGGGAUCUUCGGCAAUGGAGGAAAGGCUGAACGAGGAACCCCGGGGGAGUGAAGAAGGGUUUCGGAUCGUAAAACUCUGUUGGUAGAGAAGAACGUUGGUGAGAGUGGAAAGCUCAUCAAGUGACGGUAACUACCCAGAAAGGGACGGCUAACUACGUG